GCAUUUCCAAACUUCUGCAAAGUUGUUUACCCAUGCUUUCUACAGUUCCCCUUGUCCUCACUUCCCCAUUCAUUGCAACAGGCUUCAGCCCAACCCUCCCUUCUGCACAUGGCUUUCUCCAGGGUCACCAAUGACCAAUUUUUUUUUUCCUAAAUCCAACAGAUAUUGUAUAAUCUUCAUCUUACUUGCCCUUUCAGCAACAUUUGGGACCCCCUAACCAUUCCCUUUCUUGAAACACUAAACGCCUUCUCCUAGUUCUCUUCCUUUAUCUUCAGUUGACCAUCCUCACCCUCAGUCUCCCUGGCUGGCUUACCAUUCUCCAGUGACUUUUUUUUUUUUUUUUCUGGAGAUAGGGUCUGGCUGUAUCACCCAGGCUGGAGUGUAGUGGGGUGAUCUUGGCUCACUGCAACCUCCGCCUCCUGGGUUCAAGCUUCAGCCUCUCGAGUAGCUGGGACUACAGACAUGCACCAUCACAUCCAGGUAAU
rnacentral:lncRNA from 10 species